GACGAACGCUGGCGGCGAGCUUAACACAUGCAAGUCGAACGGAAAGGCCCUGCUUUUGUGGGGUGCUCGAGUGGCGAACGGGUGAGUAACACGUGAGUAACCUGCCCUUGACUUUGGGAUAACUUCAGGAAACUGGGGCUAAUACCGGAUAGGAGCUCCUGCUGCAUGGUGGGGGUUGGAAAGUUUCGGCGGUUGGGGAUGGACUCGCGGCUUAUCAGCUUGUUGGUGGGGUAGUGGCUUACCAAGGCUUUGACGGGUAGCCGGCCUGAGAGGGUGACCGGCCACAUUGGGACUGAGAUACGGCCCAGACUCCUACGGGAGGCAGCAGUGGGGAAUAUUGCACAAUGGGCGGAAGCCUGAUGCAGCAACGCCGCGUGCGGGAUGACGGCCUUCGGGUUGUAAACCGCUUUCGCCUGUGACGAAGCGUGAGUGACGGUAAUGGGUAAAGAAGCACCGGCUAACUACGUGCCAGCAGCCGCGGUGAUACGUAGGGUGCGAGCGUUGUCCGGAUUUAUUGGGCGUAAAGGGCUCGUAGGUGGUUGAUCGCGUCGGAAGUGUAAUCUUGGGGCUUAACCCUGAGCGUGCUUUCGAUACGGGUUGACUUGAGGAAGGUAGGGGAGAAUGGAAUUCCUGGUGGAGCGGUGGAAUGCGCAGAUAUCAGGAGGAACACCAGUGGCGAAGGCGGUUCUCUGGGCCUUUCCUGACGCUGAGGAGCGAAAGCGUGGGGAGCGAACAGGCUUAGAUACCCUGGUAGUCCACGCUGUAAACGGUGGGUACUAGGUGUGGGGUCCAUUCCACGGGUUCCGUGCCGUAGCUAACGCUUUAAGUACCCCGCCUGGGGAGUACGGCCGCAAGGCUAAAACUCAAAGGAAUUGACGGGGCCCCGCACAAGCGGCGGAGCAUGCGGAUUAAUUCGAUGCAACGCGUAGAACCUUACCUGGGUUUGACAUGGAUCGGGAGUGCUCAGAGAUGGGUGUGCCUCUUUUGGGGUCGGUUCACAGGUGGUGCAUGGCUGUCGUCAGCUCGUGUCGUGAGAUGUUGGGUUAAGUCCCGCAACGAGCGCAACCCUUGUUCACUGUUGCCAGCACGUUAUGGUGGGGACUCAGUGGAGACCGCCGGGGUCAACUCGGAGGAAGGUGGGGAUGACGUCGAGUCAUCAUGCCCCUUAUGUCCAGGGCCUCACGCAUGCUACAAUGGCUGGUACAGAGAGUGGCGAGCCUGUGAGGGUGAGCGAAUCUCGGAAAGCCGGUCUCAGUUCGGAUUGGGGUCUGCAACUCGACCUCAUGAAGUCGGAGUCGCUAGUAAUCGCAGAUCAGCAACGCUGCGGUGAAUACGUUCCCGGG
rnacentral:rRNA from 1 species